UCAGGAUUCUAAUACUGACGUGACGUAUACAGAUGCGACCAAAGAAGAACUACCUUUGGAGGUGGGGAAGAGAUAUGCUUCACAGAAGUCAAAGGAUCAAGAAAACGGACAGCAACAACAACAACAAGAGGAUCAAAACUCCAAAAAUGAAGAAAACGGGCAACAACAACUAGAUGAUCAAAACUCAAAGGAUCAAGAAAACGGACAGCAACAACUACAACAAGAGGAUCAAAACUCCAAAAAUGAAGAAAACGGGCAACAACAACUAGAUGAUCAAAACUCAAAGAAUGAAGAAAACGGACAGCAACAACAACAAGAGGAUCAAAACUCAAAGAAUCAAGAAAACGGACAGCAACAACAACAAGAGGGUCAAAACUCAAAGAAUGAAGAAAACGGACAACAACAACA
rnacentral:lncRNA from 1 species